ensembl:lncRNA
CUGUGAAGGGCUCUCCCUCUGGCCAUACACAUACAUGCACCUGGUGCUGGAUAUUUAGGACGGUCUGUUCUGUAUUAUGGAUCUUUUUCCCACAGGACAUAAACCAGAAACACAGAUGAUUGAUAUUAUGAGCUCAUGCAAGGUGUUUCCUCUAUUCUGGGAUGGUCCUAAUUACAGUUCUCCUAUGUGUGGCUGGACUUUGUGGCAGUACCAUGAGGCCUCUCACUCGCUCUCACUGACUCAUGCGCUCCUUCACCCCUUCAUUAUGUCACUCCUCUGUAUUUCUGAUUUACAUCCAUUCACUUCCUAUUACUCCUCCACUAAAAAGGCCGAUUUCUUUCCACACUUUCUCUCUCUCCCUUUCGAUUGAGUUUGUUCAGCCUGACCACCCACACAAACCUGACAUUAGCAGGCAUUCGCUGCUCCUGUUUGUUUUGAGUAUGUAUUACAGUAGUCGGUCUGUUAAUGAGAGCCAGUGGCUCAUCCAUAACUCACCACCUGCACAGGAAUGAGUAGAAACCAAUUUAAAUUCAGCCUGUUUUCCUCAAUAUUUCUUUUCGACCGAAGAAAGAAAGACAUGAACAUCUUGACAUGAGAGUGAGUAUAUUAUUAGAAAAUUUUAAUUCUGGAAAUUGAUAGACUGUUUGUACAAGUUUAUGACAUUUUUUAUUUUAAACACGCACAUUUUGAAUCCAUUCAAGUGGGUGAUGGCAUCAGAGCAUCUGGGAUCAGUUGAGGUCCUUUAGUUCAGACAUACACGCACACACUAGCCAACCUAAAGAAAUUGAUAAUAAUAUGAUAAGAACAUAAUAAAAUAUGUUCCAUGGACAGCGACCAGGGCUGUUUACUCUGGUAUAUCUGCAGAUUAAAGUGUGUAAAUAAGCACUGAAUAAGUAAUCAGAGAUCACUGUAGCUUAACUUGUCUGGAGCAACUCAACUAGGUCACACUUAGCAAUGAUUGAACCGUCCACACAACUGAAUUGCACAAAUGGAUAACACUUCUGUAGAAACUUAAUCAAGAUCACAUUACCCAACUCCAUGCAGACACACAUGCACACACUGAUUUCAGCUCAGACGAAUCUGACCACACACACACCCAAACAUACCCUCUCGUGACCGCCCAGACUGACUUUAUCUGUGACCACACACACAUCCACCCGUCCUGACCUGCCUGACACUCAUUCAUACCCUACAGCUAACUGCACUUCUAGCCGCACCACGUUUUAUCCCAAACAUGCUUCUGACCCCAACAUGAGCUUAUCAUUUAGAAAUGCUUCGAUCAUCUGUGUGUAAUCCUGUGUCUGGCCUGCCAAAUGUCCAGCACACCCUAUUCUGGCCUGAAUCUACAAAUCACAGAUGACCAACACUGGCCCUGAUUUCAUAGUCCUGCCCAGUAAUGAAUAAGUGUCUCCUGUCAGUCCAUCCCAGAUCCCCACCCAAUCCCACCAGAAUUAUAACUCAGUCUGAAAGCAUCUUAAACAUACAAACACAAAGAAUAAUUUGAAAAACAAUUAGCUUUUGGGUACAGUCUUAAAAAUACAGGCUCUAAAAGAACAUUGAACACCCAUUUAUUUCUUUAUUUUUAGAUGAUACAAAUGUUCCUUGCACUUUCUUUUCAAAAACUGUUCAGUAAAAUAUAUAUAUUUUUUUGAGGGUACCAAAAUUGGUAUCUAUGGAAUCACUGUGAAAACCACCUUUCAGCACAAGAAGCCAGUUCAAUAUUAAUAAUAAUAAUAAUAAAAAUACUGUAAUAACAUUUGGUUCCUGUAACAGUAGCACAUGCAUUAUUCAGCCAAUGUGAAUGAAAUGUUGUAAAUAGUUUCCUGCAAUACUAAGUAAUUAAAGGAGAUCCAUUCAUAUGCAUGUCAAUGCCGAUAGACCUGAAAACUUCCUCAUAUGAAGAAGUUUUGCAUUUCACCACAUUUGUCUGGUAAACUCUGACCUGUGAAUUUCUACCACAUGAAGACAUUUGUCCAAAAGACGAUCGAUACGUCAUCAGGCUGCAGGUUUGUAGCAUUUUGUUUGUAGAACCCUAAAUCUACAGCGCAAAGCAGACAGUGCCACCAUUGUAGUCCGAUUACAGAACUAAUGAUUCUUACAAGUGUUCCUUUGUGUAGUGUGUAGUGUGACUCUAAAGCUUAUGAUUCUUCUGACUUGGAUCUUUUUAAUGAAUCAAACACAUACAAAGCAACCAGUGUAGUUUACAAUGAACUAAGAGACUUAAAUCAGUGUAGCGUUUCUUUUUUUGCAAAUACUUAGUCCAUAAAAGUACUAGAGGAAUCGCUAAUCAUUCUUUUUAAUUUUUGUGUUAUAAAGUUCUUUUAUGAUGAAAACUUUCAGUAUAUUUCCAGCUGUAAAUUAAAUUUUGAAUCACUAAUUUUCCUUGUAGACAUUUGGCUCCCACUGCAUGUGUGUAUGUGAUGUUUAGCAGCAGGAUUUGUGAAGAUGAUUUGCAGCAGGGUUUCCAAAGAUCAUUUGUGCGUGGAGUUCCUCAUUUAAAGAUUCACAUUAAAAGCUCUAUUACUCUCAUUUUCACAUUCAUUAUUUUCUGCAUGUGGAGAAUGCUCAGCAGGAGAGAGAAUGAAAGAGAGAACAAGCGGGUCGAGGUUCAGGCCACGGGGGUGUUGGGUAUUAAUUAAGUCCAGCUCGUAACCGGCUCCUUGCAGUCUGGUUUGCUGCGACAAAUCCAGAACAGCUGAGUCACAUUAUGGAAAACCGACCCCAUUUACAAGUCAACAGGAGCACAAAUUCAUAUAUGUAAAGGUAUUCAUUCAAUUGUAUGUCUGCUUGCCUAUACUGACCAGUCCUUUAUUCACACAAUCAAGAAGGCAAAAUUGGAUGUCAUGAUCAAUGUCCAAUGCAAAAAUGCCUACGUGCAUCUAGGUGAACCUAACGUGUGUGUUUGUGAGCACGCUCUCAACUGCAAUAAGGGUGGUUGACUGAGUAAAAGAAAUUCCAGUAUAAUUCCUUAUCUCAGUCGAAUGAUGUAUUCCAUGUGUUUAUGGCCUUAGGUGCACUUUACUAUUUACACAGAAAGGGAUUUUACCCCACUGUAAAACACUGCAGAGAGCCGAGAGCCAAAACUUAACCAUAAAUGGCCAUGUUGCAUCAGACUGAGUUGCCCUCAAACUUGAUUUGAGAUCACGUAUCAAACAUAGUUUCUUACACAUGUUAGAUGAUGUGGCUGUGAGGACGAUAAUACUAACCCUCAUGCUUCAGACCCCCCUUUUUAUCUGAAACCGCAGGGCACCUCUGUUUGAGGACCUGACAUGACAUUCCUGCCCCGUUGGUGCCCCUGAUGUAUUCAGUCUUUCAUUUAUUAAUCCAGGGAUUGGCCAAAAGCACUUCAGGCAUUAAUGUUAAGUGGUUCAGUGAAUAUUACCAUGUUAGCAAGCGUGCCCCUUAAAUGAUUGAGUUAAAGUUAUACAAGAGCACAGAGUGUUAGACUUUGAAAACUAUGAACUCCAGGAAGGGUGUUACGAUAUCCCAUAAAUCUAUGCUCAUUCUUCCAUAGUUCCUCUUUUCCUCAGCGGGCUGCUGUUUAUUGUUCUUGUUUUUGGUAAACAGUUUGCAAGCAUAAAUUUUACCACAGGAUAAAAGUCAUUAGCAUUUGUCUGACUGUUAAUGUUCACAAAGUUCUCAUUUAUCACACAUAACUUUUUGUUUAGCAGCAGCAUUUGGGUAUGAUUGAUGAUUUGCAAAGAAAUGAUUCUUAUUUGAUUCACUGCGACAUUCGAGGACAAAUUAGUUUCUGGAAAUGUAUGCAAAUAGCUGUAUGUGGGAUUGUAAGUUACCUCGCUGGAUGCAAGGAAAUGACUUCUGUAAAAGAUUUGCAAGCCGGUGGGACUUCAGAGGGUUGUGAAUAUAUUUUGAUGAUGAAUUAGAGUGAAAGUCUGAAAAGAUACACAAGGAGGUGGGUGAUGUGACAGUUGAACUGCUGCACAGCAUCUCAUUCAUAGCAAUUCAUUAUAAAAAAUCAAAAAGGCAGCAUGUAUACACACAGCUUAUUCUCUACGGCAAAGAUUUUGUGCAAAUGUGUGUUUAUAGCUACAAAUGGAGUGUUUGGUUUUGCACGUCUCUGUUUGUGUGUGUGUUUACAUGAUGUCACUGCAUUUGCAUUGUGGGUUUUGGUCAUGGUCUUGUGUGAUAUAAAACAAUAGGACUCUCAAAUUAAAACCAUAUAGCAUAUCCCAUUGAGUAUCAAUUAAAAACCAGCAGUGGAAAAACUGAGAGGACUAAGGGCUAAUGAGAGAUCACGAGGGUGAAAGAAACUUGCAAAGAAAGAGAAAAUAUAAAAGGACACUAAGAACAAGUAAAAAGAAGAGCAGAACUUUUGAUGCACAUUGACAUUUACUCAAAAAUGGAUUUAAGUGAAUUAAAAUGCAAUUUUUGAACAUUUUCUUCACAGUUUAAUUUCAUUGUGUG